GGCCUCAUGGCUUAGUGGUUAAAGCGCCUGCCUAGUAAGCAGGAUAUCCUGGGUUCGAAUCCCAGUGGGGCCU
rnacentral:tRNA from 2 species